CAUUAGAUGACUGAAAUUUAAGUGUUGGUCUCUUAAACCAAAUUAUAGUGAAUAACUUCUAAUG
rnacentral:tRNA from 1 species